GAUGAACGCUGGCGGCGUGCCUAAUACAUGCAAGUCGAACGCUGGAGAUCUAGCUUGCUAGAUCGAAGGAGUGGCGAACGGGUGAGUAAUACAUAAGCAACCUACCCACGAAGACUGGGAUAAUCUCUGGAAACGGGGACUAAUACCGGAUAGGUAAUCGGAAGGCAUCUUCUGGUUAUUAAAGGUUAAAAACACUGGUGGAUGGGCUUAUGGCGCAUUAGUUAGUUGGUGAGGUAACGGCCCACCGAGACGAGGAUGAGUAGCCGGUCUGAGAGGGUGAGCGGCCACAUUGGGACUGGGACACGGCCCAGACGCCUACGGGAGGCAGCAGUAGGGAAUUGUCGGCAAUGGGGGCAACCCUGACCGAGCAACGCCGCGUGAGUGAAGACGGCCUUCGGGUUGUAAAGCUCUGUUGUAAGGGAAGAACGGUAGAUAGAGAAUAUCUAAGUGACGGUACCUUACCAGAAAGCCACGGCUAACUACGUG
rnacentral:rRNA from 1 species